rnacentral:rRNA from 1 species
AACGUAGGUUGCAAGCGUUGUCCGGAAUUACUGGGCGUAAAGAGUGCGUAGGCGGUUUUGUAAGUCUCAGGUGAAAUUUAUCGGCUCAACUGAUAAACUGCUUGAGAUACUGCAUAACUUGAGGGCAGGAGAGGAGAGUGGAAUUCCCGGUGUAGCGGUGAAAUGUGUAGAUAUCGGGAGGAACACCAGUGGCGAAGGCGGCUCUCUGGACUGUACCUGACGCUGUGGCACGAAAGCUAGGGGAGCAAACAGG